rnacentral:lncRNA from 1 species
UCCAGUUCAAACCAUGUCAAGGGCUGUAGAAACUAAAUUGACUAGGACGACUUAAGACUUCAUUUCAUCAUGCCUUGUCUGUUAUGUGAGUUACUGCAAGGAAGCCACGAUUGUGAAUCUCUCUGCAUGUGUCUAAAUCUGGCCUGGAGACUUAACUCUUCUGAAAAGCUUUUGGAAUGUCUAGCACUCGUCAGUUAUCAGAAAACUCAUAUUUUGAAUCUUAACUGUUAUAUUGCUUCAACUCUUUAAACCUUGCUUCUUCUUCAUUAUUGCCUUCAACCUUCACAAGUAACAGUUUGUGUGUGUGUGUGUGUGUGUGUUUGCUUCUUCAUAUCAUUGAGCCUAGAGAUGUUCUAUUUGUUUUUUCCAGGAUAUCUUCUUUUAUAACAUCUCCAGAUUUUAUCUCAUGUUAUCAGACUGGUCAUCUUGCUACUCGUUUAGUUGUAUCCAUCUCUGUCUAUCUCCCAUACUUGGGGCUUUGGUCAACAACUGUAGAGGGUUAGAGAUUAACUUGUAGUUUAAAGGGUAACAGCAGAAGAUGAGACAGAAGAUUUCUUCUUGUAUUACUAAUAAUAGAAGCAUUAUCCACAAAACAAAACACCCCAAACCAUGCUGACAUUUGCCUGCAUUAGUUCUCAGUUCCAGAAGGGUGCUAUGAAGGUGAUGCUGCACCCCAGCAGAUCAGAUCACAUAGGGGACAGAGUUAGGGAGCUGACAUUCUCUAUAGUAGGUGAAUCAUGUCUGCUCUGAAAAGGAUGAGAGUCUCUUUAGAAGAAAAGGGAAGCUUAUCCUUUUCUCUUAAGUAAGACCCUAUUUUCCGAGUCUGUUUGUCAGUGUGACAGAUUUGAAAAGAUAGUGCAAGACACAGAUAACAAUUGCCUCUGUUCCUAGGAUUGCAGAAACCUACAAUCUAUAGACUUCAGAGUUGCUUCUUACCCAGUGACAGUCAGUAGAAGUUUGUCUGCACGUGUGAAGGCCCGUGGGGACUUCAGUGUUCAGAUGUGUAAUAGUUGGUAGCCUCAUGCCUUCAGACUUGGAACUACAUUCCUUCAGAGCUUUGCCUUCUGUCCCAGCUUUCUGUUCAUGUCUCAUUUUUUUUUUUUUAAGUACAAAGUACUACUUAGUCCACAACCUGUUUCAAUUUCUACUCUCAGUUGCCUUUUUAUCUUUCUGUUUUACUGUUGCUCUUAUUCUAGGCCCCUCAGGUUUCAACAUGUCAUGUUUUUUCAUUCUCCCUGGUCCUACUGAGGUCUGACUUGUCUUUAUUUAGCUUAGAUUCCAGGGGUAGUCAGUGUGCCUAUGCAGUUAACUCCUGGCCUGUUCUCAGACAUCUGAAAAUAUGCAGAAGAAAAGCACAGUCCUAUUUCCUGUCCACUUUAGAUCCAUGAGCAUGGCUCUCAGGAAGUCCUCAGUGCUGUCCACUGAUUACAGUUUAUCUCUGUGCUCCAAUUUUCACUCUUGACACCAUUUCUCUACACUGUAGCUAGACCUCACUUCUCGACCAUCACAAGCAAAAUUGAAGCAGUCAGGAGAGAACAUUGGCAGGCUCUUGCUGUGUACCUGCCUGCCUACUGUGUGUUGUAGAAACGUUGCACUCACUGUGCUCCUUUUGAGGUUAGCUUUCACUUCACUUCCUCUUGCUCCAGCAACACAACACCCCUCACUUUGUAGCAUUUGUAGCCUCUUCUAAAUCAUUCCCUCAUCCAGCCCUGGGCUCUGCCACCUUCGCUUCCUUUCUACCACUCUCUUAAUUUCUUUCUCUCCUUGAUAGCAAACAUUUUGCUAUAGAAGGAAUAUCUGAAACUGUUUUGUUCUCUUGUGUUAUUGGUGCUGAAUUCCAGGUUCCAGCAGUCUUCCUCUGUUUGAUUCAGAUUGCCAUUGUCUCUUGACAAGGACUCUACUUGAACUUGAGGGUACUUUUCUUGCCUGCUUUUUGUCUUGAGUAUCUUCUCUUUAUUCCUUUGGUAAUGUGAUUUCAUCCAAAUAAUAUCUACUAAAUUUGGUAUUGAUGGUACCAAAUUUAAUCUUUAGCCUAGACCUUUCCUUUGAAAGGCUGAUUUUAAGGCCCAAUAUCCUAUUGAAUGUCUCCGCUUGGGUAUUACAUGAAGAUCUUACACUGAGGUAGAUUUAAAAUCUAUACUUUCUGCAGUUUUUGUCUUAUUGUUACUAGCAGCUAAACUCUUCAAGUGGAUGAGUCAGAACCUGAGUGCUUGCUUGUUCUUGGGUCUUAUUCUCUGUGUUCGGCUCCAUCUUAAGCAAAUCCUUUGCCUGAGCUCUCAUUUCUUCACUGUGGUCCAGGCUACCCCAUUUGUCUGUAUUUUGGCAGUUUCCUGACAGUCUCUCUACUGUUUUAGGUCUUUACGUGGUGCACCAGUCAAGUGCUGUUGUAACACACCGCAUCUCAUACCUUUUAUUCUAGACUCUUUAUAACCUCAGCUUUUAUUAGAGUAAAAGCCACAUUUGUCAUGGGCUACCCAGGAGCCUAUGUGUUCCGACCCCCCUCCUGUUGCUUGUCUUCUGUCUCCUCCUGUGCUUAGCCUCUUGUUGAUGCUUCAGGACAGGCCUUUGCCUACUUUAGACUUUGUACUUGCUGACUUAUACCUGGGAUGUUCUUCCCUUUGCUACUCACUUGGCAGGCUCCAUUUCAGUCUUCCAGAUUUUGACUAGAAACUACCUUUUCAAUACGGAAUUCUCUAGCCACGCUUUCUAGCAGUCCCCUCUGCAUUUCUAACCAUUGAUCUGCUCUAUUUUCCCCUAGCACCCGUUAUUUUAUAUGAUGCUUUAUUAUCAUUUACUGCUAAUAGAAUAAAAACUCCAUGAGGGCCUAGAGUUAUGUUAUUUAUUGAUUUACCUACCAGGACUAUAUAUUGUGUUGCGUUAUUGUUGCUGAUUUAUACAAGGAAUAGUAGUCUUCAACAAAUAAUUGUUUGAUGCCCAAGUAAAUGAAUGAAUUUAAUGCCCAUAUACAGUAUUUAGUAUAAAAUAACUGACAAUAAAGCCAAAAAGUUAGUUAGAAUAAUUAUAUGGAAGGUAUAGCUGUCACUCAUAUGCUAUGGACAUUUUCUUAUCUGAGUUCUACUUGAUUUGCUAAUUAUGAGAAGCAUUAAGUCAUAUAUCCAUAUAUAUAUAUAUACAUACACAUAUAUAUACACACACACAUAUAUAUGUGUAUAUAUAUGAUUUUCUUAUAUUUUCAUCUUAUAUGCCACAUCUCUAAAAGCUAAAGAAAAAGGAAGAAAAAAGUAAAUUGCAUUCACAAAUGUAGUUGUAGGCCAGGGAAUAGGUAAAAGCACUUGCCUUGCAAGCGGACUGACUUGAGCUCAGUCUGUGAACAGAAUCUACAUGGUAGAAAGAACCAGCUCCAUGAAGUUGUCCUCUAACCUCCACAUAUGUAGCUCUGUGUGUGUGUGUAAACACUAAU